CCUACGGGAUGCACCAGUGGGGAAUAUUGCACAAUGGGCGCAAGCCCGAUGCAGCCAUGCCGCGUGUAUGAAGAAGGCCUUAGGGUUGUAAAGUACUUUCAGUUGGGAGGAAGGCGUUGAUGCUAAUAUCAUCAGCGAUUGACGUUACCAACAGAAGAAGCACCGGCUAACUCCGUGCCAGCAGCCGCGGUAAUACGGGGGGUGCAAGCGUUAAUCGGAAUUACUGGGCGUAAAGCGCACGCAGGCGGUCUGUCAAGUCGGGUGUGAAAUCCCCGGGCUCAACCUGGGAACUGCAUUAGAAACUGGCAGGCUGGAGUCUUGUAGAGGGGGGUAGAAUUCCAGGUGUAGCGGUGAAAUGCGUAGAGAUCUGGAGGAAUACCGGUGGCGAAGGCGGCCCCCUGGACAAAGACUGACGCUCAGGUGCGAAAGCGUGGGGAGCAAACAGGAUUAGAUACCCGCGUAGUC
rnacentral:rRNA from 1 species